rnacentral:miRNA from 1 species
CCGCUGAGUGGGGAGGAGAGAGGACAGAGCCUGCUUCUUUAAAGGAGCAAAGUGGGAGAGGAGAGGAGCCGCUUACACGAGUGUAAGCGGCUCCUGUCCAGUUGGUUCCUUUAAAGCAAGCAGGCUCUCUGUCCCUCUCUCCUCCCCACUCAGCU